UACGGAGGGGACUAGCGUUGUUCGGAAUUACUGGGCGUAAAGCGCACGUAGGCGGAUUUGUAAGUCAGGGGUGAAAUCCCGGGGCUCAACCUCGGAACUGCCUUUGAUACUGCAAAUCUCGAGUCCGGAAGAGGUGAGUGGAAUUCCUAGUGUAGAGGUGAAAUGCGCAGAUAUCAGGAAGAACACCCGUGGCGAAGGCGGCUCUCUGGUACGUGACUGACGCUGAGACGCGAAAGCGUGGGGAGCGAACAGG
rnacentral:rRNA from 1 species